AAUUACAAGUUAGCUGUAGCUCGUAGCUUAACAGAAAACGCAUGCUAACCAAUUUCCUUAUAGCCAUUAUAGCCAAAAACAGGGCAAAUUUCAUUUUACCGACAGAUAUAUCAUAUACCUGAUGUACAAGCCUCCAGAAAUAGCUAAUGGUUAUAAGGGACAGAGAUGAGAGUCAACACUUACAGAGAACACGACGAUUCAACAAUGUGGCUGCUGACUUCGGCCGAGAACCGGGGUUACACCGUGGACUGGUCUUGUCAAGAAUUUCAACAUUCCAAGAAGCAUUCCGGCUCUCAACCUCACAUGACUGCAAGCUCAGAAACUGGCCCACUUUCCAACUAAAUACUUACGGACUUGGAGGUCCACCUGCUGUGCAGUGCUGAUGCCGCACUUUCUAAUUCCAGAUUGAUUGGAAUUGGCUGCAAGAUUGAAAACAUAAACAGCGCCCCCCCCCCCUCCCCCCCGCCCCCUCCCCCAGAAGUGUUGGAGCGAUCAUGUCCAUCCAAAAGAUGAACAGGAGACCAAACAGCAUCGUUUCAGCUCCUAUUCCCAGCGGCCCCGCCUCCACCCUCCAAGAGACUGCACGGCUGACGAAAGGGUUCACUCCAUUCAUGCCGUUGUUCUAUGGAACCAGCGCACCAAUGCCUGUUUGCAGGAAGGAGAUGAGGAAAAGCAAAAUAUCGAGCGGAUUUUGAUGAGCAGACUUCUCUUUUGGACGACCUUUCGCUGACUCUUGACUAAACAAGGCUGCGGCCCACCAGGAGACACGGGGGCGUCUUGCUGGAGGACAUUUCCACAUAGAAGUCACUGACCAAUCCUGUCCUGACGGAGGGAUGGAUGGAGGGAUGGAAGGAAGUGAAGUCCUGCAGUGGAUUCAAGGACGCCCUCACAGUCCGUGAUGUUGUUGUUGUCUUUGUGAGCGUGCGUCCUCACGGUGGGCCUCGGCAAACAUCUGGCACCCGCUCAUGACAACAAACAGCCACUUUGGAAAGGUACCGCCAUUGAAAUCACUUUGGGCUUUGCUUUCCCUGUCGGCGUGGAGGCUUUUCCUGACACGUCAACCCAAAUGACCUCUUCCAGAGUCAUUCUUUACAUUUUCAUUACAUUUUCAUUUAAUUUCAUUUGGAUUUUAGUCCGUUUUAUAUAUAUUUUAAUGCAAUUACUGGCCAUUUUUAGCUCAAAUCAAUUUAAUGACAAAUUGCAUUUAAUGCGUAGUAUUUCAAUACAUUCAUUCAUUCAUUCAUUUUCUACCGCUUUUUCCUCACGAGGGUCGCGGGGGUGCUGGAGCCUAUCCCAGCUGUCUUCGGGCGAGAGGCGGGGUACACCCUGGACUGGUCGCCAGCCAAUCACAGGGCACAUAUAGGCAAACUAUUUCAAUACAAUACUUGUAAUAUUUUAUUUUAUAUAUGUAAUAUUUUUUAUAUAUACAUAUAUAAUAUAAAUAUAUAUAAUUUAAUUUUUUAUAACAGAAUAUUUCUAUAUUUUUUUCUAUUUGUAAUAAAUAUUUUUUAAAUGUUCAUCGCAAGUGUAAAAAGAAAUGAACCCCCCACUUUGUUAUCCAAUUAUGCAACUUCAUCAUUGAGGGGAGAAUCUAAAAGGCCGCCUUCCCUCCUCCCUCCUCUCAGGACCUCCUCG